CUUUAUAUUAUAUUAUAUACUGCAGCUGUCCUAUUUGAGCAGUCAAAUUGCAUUGACUGUAUAUUCAUAUGUGAUAUACAGUCACUGACCGUAUAUCACCUUGUUUAUGACGUUGACAAUGCGUUUCCGUAGAGUUUUAUUUAUGACGUCAAUAAAACAUACAGGUUCGCGGAAAUUUUACGUCGUCCGCUUCAAAUUAAAAAAUGAUUGUUUUUACCCUAAAUAUUUCAUUUAGAACACUUAUAAGAGUUGCAGUAUAUAAA
rnacentral:lncRNA from 1 species